UCAUCAAAGGAGUUCAACCACAAUUCUCAAAAAGCUUCACACACUCUUGAUCAAGACAAUGUGAAGCAAAACCAAUUUAUGGUGCCAACAAGAGCUUCAUCAAUGGAAGGCAACCACAAUUCUCAAAAGCUUCACACACUAUUGACAAGACAGUCUGAAGCAAAAUUAAUUUAUGGUGCCAACAAAAGCUUCAUCAAUGGAGGGCAACUACAAUUCUCAGACCUUCGAAACAAAUUCAAUUUAUAUGGUUCAUCCAAACCUUCGACUAUUACAAGG
rnacentral:lncRNA from 1 species